AGUGGCGAACGGGUGAGUAACACGUGGGUGACCUAGCUUAGGUGAUGGGAUAGCCUGUGGAAACACAGGGUAAUACCGAAUACGCCUUACAGGCAGAGCUGUGAAGGGAAAAGGGCGCUUUAGGGCGCUGCACUAAGGGGGGGCCUGCGGGCCAUUAGGCUAGUUGGUGGGGUAAUGGCCUACCAAGGCGACGAUGGAUAGCCGGCCUGAGAGGGGUGUACGGCCACACUGGGACUGAGAGACGGCCCAGACUCCUACGGGAGGCAGCAGCUAAGAAUCUUCCGCGAAUGGGGGGAACCUGACGGAGCGACGCCGCGUGAACGAGGAAGGCCGAAAGGUUGUAAAGUUCUUUUCUUGGGGAAGAAUAAGGGGAAGAGAGAAUGCUUCUCUGAUGACGGUAACCGAGGAAAAAGCCCCGGCCAAUUACGUGCCAGCAGCCGCGGUAACACGUAAGGGGCGAGCGUUGUUCGGAAUUAUUGGGCGUAAAGAGCGUGUAGGCGGUUUUGUAAGCCUGGUGUAAAAGGCGUACGCUUAACGUACGUAGGUCGCUGGGGACUGCGAGACUAGAGUGUAGGAAGGGGAGCUGGAAUUCCGGGUGUAGGGGUGAAAUCUGUAGAUAUCUGGAAGAACACCGAUGGCGAAGGCGAGCUUCUAGCAGUACGCUGACGCUGAGGCGCGAAAGCGUGGGGAGCGAACGGGAUUAGAUACCCUUGGAGUCCACGCUGUAAACGAUGUGCACUAGGUGUUGGUGCGAAUGCAUCCAGUGCCCGUAGUUAACGCGAUUAA
rnacentral:rRNA from 1 species